rnacentral:rRNA from 1 species
GAUGAACGCUAGCGGCAGGCCUAAUACAUGCAAGUCGGACGGGAUUCAGGAGCUUGCUUCUGAUGAGAGUGGCGCACGGGUGCGUAACACGUAUGUAACCUACCUUUAUCAGGGGGAUAGCCUCUCGAAAGAGAGAUUAAGCCCGCAUAAAAUCACAGCACAGCAUUGUGUAAUGAUCAAAUAUUUCUAGGAUAAAGAUGGGCAUGCGGAACAUUAGCUAGAUGGCGGGGUAACGGCCCACCAUGGCGACGAUGUUUAGGGGAGCUGAGAGGAUGGCCCCCCAGACCGGUACUGCGGCACAGACCAGUAUGCGACGGGGGGCAGCAGUAAGGAAUAUUAUUCGAGGAGCCGAAACCGGAACACGCCAUGCCAGGUGCGGGAGGACGGCCAUCCGGAUUGUAAACUGCUUUUAUACGAGAAUAAACCCAGAUACGAGUAUCUUGCUGAAGGUACUGAAAGAAUAAGGAUCGGCUAACUCCGUG